rnacentral:rRNA from 1 species
AUCUACCUAGUAGUAUGGAAUAGCCAUUAGAAAUGAUGGGUAAUACUGUAUAAUCCCUGCGGGGGAAAGAUUUAUCGCUAUUAGAUGAGCCUACGUUAGAUUAGCUAGUUGGUAAGGUAAUGGCUUACCAAGGCUAUGAUCUAUAGCUGGUCUGAGAGGACGAUCAGCCACACUGGAACUGAGAUACGGUCCAGACUCCUACGGGAGGCAGCAGUGGGGAAUAUUGGACAAUGGGCGAAAGCCUGAUCCAGCUAUGCCGCGUGAGUGAAGAAGGCCUUCGGGUUGUAAAACUCUUUCAAU